rnacentral:rRNA from 1 species
UACGUAGGGUGCAAGCGUUAAUCGGAAUUACUGGGCGUAAAGCGUGCGCAGGCGGUUCGUUGUGUCGGCGGUGAAAGCCCCGGGCUCAACCUGGGAAUGGCCGUUGAAACUGGCGGACUCGAGUGUGGCAGAGGGGGGUGGAAUUCCGCGUGUAGCAGUGAAAUGCGUAGAGAUGCGGAGGAACACCGAUGGCGAAGGCAGCCCCCUGGGCUAACACUGACGCUCAGGCACGAAAGCGUGGGGAGCAAACAGG